AGAGUUUGAUCCUGGCUCAGGACGAACGCUGGCGGCGUGCUUAACACAUGCAAGUCGAACGGAAAGGCCCUUCGGGGUACUCGAGUGGCGAACGGGUGAGUAACACGUGGGUGAUCUGCCCUGCACUUUGGGAUAAGCCUGGGAAACUGGGUCUAAUACCGAAUAGGACCACGCGCUUCAUGGUGUGUGGUGGAAAGCUUUUGCGGUGUGGGAUGGGCCCGCGGCCUAUCAGCUUGUUGGUGGGGUAAUGGCCUACCAAGGCGACGACGGGUAGCCGGCCUGAGAGGGUGACCGGCCACACUGGGACUGAGAUACGGCCCAGACUCCUACGGGAGGCAGCAGUGGGGAAUAUUGCACAAUGGGCGCAAGCCUGAUGCAGCGACGCCGCGUGAGGGAUGACGGCCUUCGGGUUGUAAACCUCUUUCAAUAGGGACGAAGCGCAAGUGACGGUACCUAUAGAAGAAGCACCGGCCAACUACGUGCCAGCAGCCGCGGUAAUACGUAGGGUGCGAGCGUUGUCCGGAAUUACUGGGCGUAAAGAGCUCGUAGGUGGUUUGUCGCGUUGUUCGUGAAAACUCACAGCUUAACUGUGGGCGUGCGGGCGAUACGGGCAGACUAGAGUACUGCAGGGGAGACUGGAAUUCCUGGUGUAGCGGUGGAAUGCGCAGAUAUCAGGAGGAACACCGGUGGCGAAGGCGGGUCUCUGGGCAGUAACUGACGCUGAGGAGCGAAAGCGUGGGGAGCGAACAGGAUUAGAUACCCUGGUAGU
rnacentral:rRNA from 1 species